rnacentral:rRNA from 2 species
UAAACGACUCUCGGCAACGGAUAUCUCGGCUCUCGCAUCGAUGAAGAACGUAGCGAAAUGCGAUACUUGGUGUGAAUUGCAGAAUCCCGUGAACCAUCGAGUCUUUGAACGCAAGUUGCGCCCGAAGCCUUGGCCGAAGGCACGCCUGCCUGGGUGUCACACA